AUGAAACUCGAGACGAAGGCGAACAGCCCCCAAAGCGGGGGC
rnacentral:sRNA from 1 species